ACUUUGCUUUUCAGUGCAGCUGCUUGGGUACUACGAGCGAGUGCUUAAAACUCAAAGAACUUGGCGGCUUGUUAACUACCUAGGGGAAUAUGCGCCUUAAUCCGAUGAUCCCCGUCAUAUCUUACUGAGUCUUGAAAAAGUGCAGCUGGUGUAUUGCCGUUGUCAGCUUGUUGUUCGAGCAAAGAGAAACAGGCUUAAUGGAUCCCGGUGAUAAUCUUCACGGGAAUCCAUGAAUUCAGGUCGUAAUACUGCCUAUGGCUCAAGGGAGCGGGUGUUACAAUUCAUAUUUGGAAUUACGGAUCCUCAUUGUGGAAUCUUGGGGUGAAGGUGAACUUAGGAGUAAGGAGAGAUUAAUGUGCUUUCCUGAACAUGAAUCUAACUCGUGUACAAACUGCCCGUCGCUCUCGGCGAGAGCUGAGAU
rnacentral:rRNA from 1 species